CAAACAAAUACAAUACACGAUUGGGAUUUCCAAAAAGAAACUUGAAAUGAGUUUUUCUACAUAAUUAUAAAGCAAAAGAAUACAGUGAAGUGAAAAUACAACAUAACAUCUACCUUUGCUAAGCUACAACGUAUUGAAAAAUCAUCAUGCAACCUAAUAAAUUGAAGAUACUGAUGAUAGGUCCCUCUGAAAGUGGCAAAACUCAAAUAGCUAAUUUUUUAUCGAAUUCUAUUAAUAUUGAUGAAGCGGGAAACCCGAAGCCUACUCAAGGAGUAAGAAUAGUGGAAUUCGAACAGUCAAAUAUAAACUAUAACGGAAAGAAUAGUAACAUAGAUAUAGAACUGUGGGACUGUAGUGGUGAUCAUAGAUUCGAAUCAUGCUGGCCUGCUUUAAGAUUUGGAGUUAAAGGAGUAAUUUUAGUUUGUUCAUCUAAUACAUCAGAAGUCGCUCCUAGAGAAUUAGAAUUGCUAUAUAACUACUUUGUAUCUCAACCAAAGCUAUCCACUAAACAGUGUGUGGUGUUUUACAAUUGCGCUGAUGAUCAAUACGAUGUUGGUCAUCUUAAUUUAUCUUCGACAUUUUCAAGAAUAUCUCAAGUCGCCGUGAAUUUGAGAACAGAACGUGAACGUUUGAAAACCGAAUUUUCUAAUUACAUAACCUCUGUACUUCAGUCGGUAUAAAGUAUAAUAUUAUCUGGUGACAUCAUCCUUAUGUAUAUAAUUUGGUGAAAAAUAAAUAAACGCAUACUUACGUAUAUCACUGUGACAUUCAUUUUCAUUCCACUGAAAAACAUGGAAAAAUCGAAGUUCUGGGCAUAGUUAAUAAGGUAGUCAAUGUACCAAACAAAAGUUCAAUCAAAGUUAAAAAAGUACAUUUAAACAUGAAAUUUGAGGUCAUAAGUUAAUCGUGAUCAUACAAGGCUUAAGUAUAUUUAAUUACGUAAAGCCAAAAUGCCGCAACAAUCUUUAGAGGAUCUUCUGGAAUGAAAAACACAGACGGUAGAUAUGUUUCCGAGACUCGUUAUUAGCGGUCACAUAUACUUCCGCUAUUUAAUUAUUAAAAAUAUAAUAUUAAAUAAAAGUAUAAUAUAUAAUUACAUACGAAAACACGGACGUAGUUCAUUGCCAGAAUUUGAUUAGCCCAGUGGUCCAAUCAAUGACAGCAACCAUGAUAAUUACGUACCUUUAGAAAAAAUAGCACCAAAACAAAUUCUUUU